GCCCUGAAGCUCGCAUCUCAUCCAGAGUUGUUGCUAACCAGUCCAAUCCUUCAUAGAGGCCAUCGCCUUUGAGAGCACAGGUUCCUUGGAUAUGCCAUAUACGGUUGUUCAGGUCAUAUAGACCAAGGCCCUCGCAUACUUCCAUCGGAACAAGUUGAGCAUACCAUGUCUUGCUUGUUAGCAAACACCAAUAGAACACUAUUAAGCAUAAAAGGGUCAUUAAUAAUGGCCUGAAAGACAGAUUACCACACAGUAAGUUAGAGCAACAAGGCAACAAAUGUCAUGACCAGAGCAUCGGUGUUGUUGAAGUAGUGCCUCCAUAAGGGCCUCAAUUUUUCCUGGCCACCAACAUCCCACACAGUGAACACCACAUUCUUGUAUUGAACUUUCUCCACUGAACCUACCUAUAGUGGGGACGGUGGAGAGAACUUCGCCGAUGUGCAGCUUAUAGAGUAUGGUGGUCUUCCCCGCGGCAUCUAGCCCAAGCAUCACCACCCGCAUCUCCUUGUUGCCGAAGAAGGCGUCGAAGAGCUUGCGGAAGGCCUGCCCCAUCCCUUCUUCGCCGAUC
rnacentral:sRNA from 1 species